CCACGCAUUCAGAGCAUAGACCCCGGCUCGGUCUAUUCGUGUGACACGGAUAGAUUGUAGAUAGGCCGGACGUGCAUCGUAGUUCAUGCGCACGAUUGUACAGAGAGCGCUUCGCACUUGGCUCGGCGCAUCGGCGCUAAAACAGAGCGGCCCAUGACACCUCUCCUCCUUCCUUCUCUCUGCUCUGGUACAACAGUGUGGUACAGUGCUACACGACUUGCUACGACUCCGAACGGUGGCCCCUACCCCUACCACGCAAUAUAUGCACAGGCGGGGGGGAAUAUGGGGGGAAAACACGUGACUCACGCGAUGGACUAAUCAACCUGCCGCUUUUUCGAAAAUGUUCAAUGUCCUCUACUCGGAAGUGCCCAACUUCAGACACACGUAUGUACACAACCGCGGGUGUACAUGACGCCGAGUGCGUCUCUUUAAAGACUAUAGCGAUGAAUCAGACGAAUCCUAAUUGUUUGUAAAUAUUGUGUAAAUAUUCUAUGCCGCAUCGCUGUUGCCUCGAUAGAGCGCUAAGGUCGAUUGGCUCGUUUUACGUGAAUAUACGUGAAUCGUCAAAUUUCUUCGUCACAUAUUGCAUUCGUACUUUUAUUCAGCAACGCAUAAUUCAUUGAACGCAGCAUUCGUUGAAAUUGUUAUUCCUUCUGAGUGGAUCUUGACAGCUAAAUUUUUGCUCACUGCCACUGGCUCACCGUGUUUGUUAAUUUUCAAGCACAUAAAGCUGCAGACAAUCCAGAUAAACCCGCUGUAAUAUUGGCGCAUGACUCUAUGUACGCGAUAAUAUGCAAAGAGAUGUGUAUGGACGAUCUAAGGUCAAAUAGACACAAUGCAACCACCGUCAGUAGCUACACCUCGAAAGUUACCAGUUUUUGUGUUUCCACAAAGCAUUACAUUCUUCUUAGACAAUCAGGCUACCCACAAACAAGUGCUAACUUUAUAUAACCCGUAUGACUUCCCUGUAAAAUUCAAAGUUUUAUGCACCGCACCGAACAAGUACAAGGUUGUCGAUCCAGAAGGCACAAUAAAAGCCAGAUGCUGCGUCGAUAUUGUUAUCCGACAUACAGCACCGUUAACAAGUAAUUGCAAUGUGACUGAUAAGUUCAGAAUACAUAUGCAAGAACAUCCCACCAAACAGGCGAUCGGCAAGCGAGAUGUCGAAGCUAAGCUACUCUCUGGAACAAGCGAUACAGUCGGAAGAUCAACACCAGAUCCAGAUAUGUUUCAUCAACUCCCAAUCAAUGAAACAACAAGACAACAACAAUCCUACGCGCUUAUAAGCCAAAAUAGAACAGUGGACACGUUCCUAAGGAUCCUUGAAAUUUGGAACUCCCAUAGCUGCUUCAAGUAUCUACGAAAACGCUGAAAUCGAUAUAUCGAGGAACGGAUAAGAGGAAGUUAUUUCGAAAUAGAUCCUUAAUACUGGCACAAGAGGUACAAAUUACGUAGCGCUCGUCGCAGGAAUUAUAUGCAUAGCCGGACUGCUCUUACCUACAGAAGGAGAACAAAGUAAUAGAGUGCCUGAUUAUCUCC
rnacentral:misc_RNA from 1 species